rnacentral:ncRNA from 1 species
GAGCGCCGUAUGAGGUGAAAGUCUCACGUACGGUGUGGGGCAGGGGAAAAGGUGGAGAUGAUAUCAAAGCCUUACCUAUUGCUCU